AGGAUGAAGCUGGCGGCAGGCCUAACACAUGUAAGUCGAGCGGAACGAGUUAUCUGAACCUUCGGGGAACGAUAACGGCGUCGAGCGGCGGACGGGUGAGUAAUGCCUAGGAAAUUGCCCUGAUGUGGGGGAUAACCAUUGGAAACGAUGGCUAAUACCGCAUAACGCCUACGGGCCAAAGAGGGGGACCUUCGGGCCUCUCGCGUCAGGAUAUGCCUAGGUGGGAUUAGCUAGUUGGUGAGGUAAUGGCUCACCAAGGCGACGAUCCCUAGCUGGUCUGAGAGGAUGAUCAGCCACACUGGAACUGAGACACGGUCCAGACUCCUACGGGAGGCAGCAGUGGGGAAUAUUGCACAAUGGGCGCAAGCCUGAUGCAGCCAUGCCGCGUGUGUGAAGAAGGCCUUCGGGUUGUAAAGCACUUUCAGUCGUGAGGAAGGUAGUGUAGUUAAUAACUGCAUUAUUUGACGUUAGCGACAGAAGAAGCACCGGCUAACUCCGUGCCAGCAGCCGCGGUAAUACGGAGGGUGCGAGCGUUAAUCGGAAUUACUGGGCGUAAAGCGCAUGCAGGUGGUUUGUUAAGUCAGAUGUGAAAGCCCGGGGCUCAACCUCGGAAUUGCAUUUGAAACUGGCAGACUAGAGUACUGUAGAGGGGGGUAGAAUUUCAGGUGUAGCGGUGAAAUGCGUAGAGAUCUGAAGGAAUACCGGUGGCGAAGGCGGCCCCCUGGACAGAUACUGACACUCAGAUGCGAAAGCGUGGGGGAGCAAACAGGAUUAGAUACCCUGGUAGUCCACGCCGUAAACGAUGUCUACUUGGAGGUUGUGGCCUUGAGCCGUGGCUUUCGGAGCUAACGCGUUAAGUAGACCGGCCUGGGGAGUACGGUCGCAAGAUUAAAACUCAAAUGAAUUGACGGAAGGGGC
rnacentral:rRNA from 1 species